CGCUCUUGAGGUGGGCGUGCCGCUACUUAAGGGGAUGCUGACGGCGAGCGGGUAUUAGCACUGAAGAUCUCCCAGCAAUGCCAGCAGAAGACGUGUGCUGAAGUACGGAGGUGCGUGGCUGUGCCGCAUGGGGAGAGGGCGUUCCUGUUCAUGACUGAUCUUUCCUGCUCAGCAACUGCUUGGUGCUGAUAGAACUGUGAGGAAACAUGCGCUGGAAGUCCUGCUGAUGUCUAAAAGCCUCAGGAUUUGACUGAACUGCCACCAUGCGUGUCAUGCAGAGCAUCAGCUGGAGCACAAAGAACUCACUGCCCUGUUUACUGAAAGAGGUCAGCCCUCUGUAAGCAGAGUUGCUGACAGAAUGGUAAAAUAUCAUCUGUCCUGCUCCAGCUGUGCGGCCGAGCAAGCAAAGGGGUUUGGGCACAUUGACUCUCCUUGUAUAUCGUCUGUGUAAUCCUACCUAGUAGGGCAAUUAAACAUUAUCAGUGAAACAAGUGAGCUUUCAGGCCUCUGGCUCCUCGUAAGGUUUUAAGGAAAAAUGAAGUGAGCUGGCUUACUUCCUAGCAAGGGGUUGAUCACCAUUGCAGUUCCUAGAUCUGAAGGGAAAGG
rnacentral:lncRNA from 1 species